CGUUAAAGGUGUAUAUUCCGAUUUUUUUUUUAUUUUUUGAUGAUAAGCGAGCCAAAUAGCCAGCCGGCAAAAAUCUACACGGAGGUACACCCCUCAGCACUCGGUUACAGCAGUGAGAAACUGUUAUGAGUACCUCAUGAGGGCUGUUACAAGGAAGUAGGAUUGACAGAACUGAAGUAUUUGAGAGCAAAACAACAACUUCCAACCAAAAUCAAUCCAUCAGAAUAGAAUGUGUCCUUUGGAAACCAACCCCGUACUCCAAUAGCUGAGAAAAUUGAGUGCAGAUGCAAUGCCCGCGGCCAAAAAAACUCAGCUCUUUCCCUGUGUCUCAAAGCCCCACUGACCUGGCCACGUCCCCCCAUUUGCUUUGCUGCUGCUUUUUUGUUUGUCUCUGGGCCCUCAGCUUCUGUGGCCAUUUUCGGGGACUCUCAUGGACAGCUCAAAUUAUUCCAGCAGCCUUGGAAUAAUUUCUAAGAAAUGAGUUCUUUGUUGCAGGUGUGGGUAUGACCAGCUGUUCAGGAAGCCGGAGGAGCCGAUGCUGACGGAUGGUGUGCUGGGGCUUGGCUUUGGGAAGGCCAGCAUCCUGUCCCAGCUGAGUAGCUGGGGGGUUAUCCGGAAUGUGGUAGGCCACUGCCUCAGUAGCAAAGGGGGAGGCUAUUUUUUCCUGGGGGAUGACCUAGUGCCUCCCUCUGGGUUGACCUGGUCGCCCAAACUUCGAAUUGGAGACAGGUUACUGAGAUUCCUGCCCUUUAGAUGGGUUCAACUGUAGUUACUUAUGAUGCUGAUGUUAGAUUGCUAACUAACUCUGCUUUGGAUUUGGAUCAGCAACUAUUACUCGCCGGGGCCAGCAAGUCUCGUCUUGGGGUCCCAGUCUUUGGGGUCCAAGCUGCCAGUGGUAUUGGACAGCGGAAGCUCCUAUACCUACUUCGGAUUUCAACCGUACCAAGAUUUUCUCUCCGCGGUAAUUGAAAUUGGAUGUAUUUUUUACUUGUUUGCUUUGGAUUGUUUAGACUUUUAGAGCUAAGUUUCCUUUUCUUAAAGAUAAAAAGGGAUCUAUCGAGACAGCCACUGACAGAGACAUCUGAUGAUAAGUCGCUACCCUUGUGCUGGAAAGGACCGAAACCGUUCAAGUCUGUGCUUGAUGUUAUCAAGUAUUUUAAGC
rnacentral:lncRNA from 1 species